UGGACAAUAAGCUGUGCUCUGAGGUCUGC
rnacentral:piRNA from 1 species